GACGAACGCUGGCGGCGUGCUUAACACAUGCAAGUCGAGCGGGGUCCAUCCCUUCGCAAGAAGGGGGAAGACCUAGCGGCGAACGGGUGAGUAACACGUGAGGAACCUGCCCCGAAGACCGGGAUAACACCGGGAAACCGGUGCUAAUACCGGAUGCCCUCAGAGAGUCGCAUGGCUCAUUGAGGAAAUGGAUUCCGCUUCGGGAGGGCCUCGCGGCCUAUCAGCUUGUUGGUGGGGUAACGGCCUACCAAGGCUCCGACGGGUAGCUGGUCUGAGAGGACGACCAGCCACACUGGGACUGAGACACGGCCCAGACUCCUACGGGAGGCAGCAGUGGGGAAUCUUGCGCAAUGGGCGAAAGCCUGACGCAGCAACGCCGCGUGGGGGACGAAGGCCUUCGGGUUGUAAACCCCUUUCAGCAGGGACGAACAUGACGGUACCUGCAGAAGAAGCCCCGGCCAACUACGUGCCAGCAGCCGCGGUAAUACGUAGGGGGCGAGCGUUGUCCGGAUUUAUUGGGCGUAAAGAGCUCGUAGGCGGUUUGGCAAGUCGGGUGUGAAAACUCCGGGCUCAACUCGGAGACGCCACUCGAUACUGCUAUGACUCGAGUCCGGUAGGGGAGUGCGGAAUUCCUGGUGUAGCGGUGAAAUGCGCAGAUAUCAGGAGGAACACCGGUGGCGAAGGCGGCACUCUGGGCCGGAACUGACGCUGAGGAGCGAAAGCGUGGGGAGCGAACAGGAUUAGAUACCCUGGUAGUCCACGCCGUAAACGUUGGGCACUAGGUGUGGGGCUCGAUCGACGGGCUCGGUGCCGUAGCUAACGCAUUAAGUGCCCCGCCUGGGAAGUACGGCCG
rnacentral:rRNA from 1 species